rnacentral:rRNA from 1 species
CCUACGGGUGGCAGCAGUGGGGAAUAUUGCACAAUGGGGGAAACCCUGAUGCAGCAACGCCGCGUGAGGGAGGAAGUAUUUCGGUAUGUAAAGCUCUAUCAGCAGGGAAUAGAAAAGAAGGUACCUGAAAAAGAAGCGCCGGCGAACUAAGUGCCAGGAGCCGCGGUUAUACGGAGGGGGCAAGCGUUAUCCGGAUUUACUGGGGGUAAAGGGAGCGUAGACGGAAAGGCAAGUCAGAGGAGAAAACCCAAGGCUUAACCAUGGGACCGCUUUUGAAACUGUCAAACUAGAGUACGGGAGAGGUAAGAGGAAUUCCUAGUGUAGCGGUGAAAUGCGUAGAUAUUAGGAGGAACACCAGUGGCGAAGGCGUCUUACUGGACCGAAACUGACGUUGAGGCUCGAAAGCGUGGGGAGCAAACAGGAUUAGAUACCCGAGUAGUC